GUAGUUGACUUUAGAAAGUCAAACUAACUAGUGAUGAAGUCGAAUAAGUGGUUUCGGCUAAGAAAAUAAGUAAAGUGGUAUAGUCGUGAUUGUUAAUGACUAAUCUAACCACCUUGUAAAUGAUGAACAAUAGUUGGCGCUUAAACAAGCUAGGUGAAGCUUGGAGUGAAAGCGGGUCAAACGAGUCAAGCAUAGAAGAAAAGCGUAGCUCGGAUGCAAGGACUAAUUAGCAAAUCGGAUAGUUGCGUCAUCAUUGAUGGUGUGAUAAUAAAAGCGAGGCAUAAAUCGGGUCUAUUCGUUGAUCCGAGCCAGGUGUAUGCUGAGAGCCCGGAUGAAGAUCAAGCGUCAAGCUCAAUGAGGAACCGAACACAUGUUUGAUAAAGCUUCCGCAACGUUGUUGUGUCGUUAUUCUAAACGGCGAAUUAAAUCACAUUAUGUAUAUCACUUAAAUUAUAAAAGUUUUUAACAAGCCCGUAUUUUCAUUAUAA